GGCGAGCGAAGCGGGAAGAGCUCAAAUUUGUAAUCUGGCAGCAAUGUCCGAGUUGUAAUCUAUAGAGUCGUUUUCGGUGCCGGACCGCGUCCAAGUCCCUUGGAACAGGGUAUCAAAGAGGGUGACAAUCCCGUACUUGACGCGACCACCGGGGCUGUGUGAUACGAUUUCUACGAGUCGAGUUGUUUGGGAAUGCAGCUCUAAAUGGGUGGUAAAUUCCAUCUAAAGCUAAAUAUUGGCGAGAGACCGAUAGCGAACAAGUACCGUGAGGGAAAGAUGAAAAGCACUUUGGAAAGAGAGUUAAAAGUACGUGAAAUUGUUGAAAGGGAAACGAUUGAAGUCAGUCGUGCGGCUUGGUUUCAGCGGGUUCUGCCCGUGCAUUACCAUUUCGCGGGUCAACAUCGGUUAGGUCUGGCGGAAAAAGGCAGGGGGAAGGUGGCACCCUCGGGUGUGUUAUAGCCCCUUGUUGCAUAUGCUGGGUCUGACCGAGGACUGCGGUGUGCCUUUAUGGCAGGUCUUUUGACCUUUCACGCCUAGGAUGUUGACAUAAUGGCUUUAAACGACCCGUCUUGAAACACGGACCAAGGAGUCUAACAUGUGUGCGAGUGUUUGGGUGUCAAACCCAUGCGCGUAAUGAAAGUGAACGCAGGAACGAACCGCAAGGUGCAGUUUCGACCGAUCCUAAUCUUCUGUGACGGAUUUGAGUAAGAGCAUAUAUGCUGGGACCCGAAAGAUGGUGAACUAUGCCUGAAUAGGGCGAAGCCAGGGGAAACUCUGGUGGAGGCUCGUAGCGAUUCUGACGUGCAAAUCGAUCGUCAAAUUUGGGUAUAGGGGCGAAAGACUAAUCGAACUAUCUAGUAGCUGGUUCCUGCCGAAGUU
rnacentral:rRNA from 1 species